UGAUAAUGAGGAAGAAUAUGAUGCAUUUGAGGACCUCCCCCCUUUACCUAUCCUGAAACUACUGUGGAAGAUGAUCUGAAUAUGUCGGAGAACUAUAUGCGUGUAGAUCACACGGAAUGGAUACAUGUACUUAAGGAUCCUAAGAAACGGCGGAAAGGUCAAUAAAUCAUGAGAUAUAAACUCAGGGACAUGGCGGAGGUGCAUACCGAUACGAGUGCGGAACACACUACCGAGGAUGAGUCUUUCGAUUACCAAAAGGAGCGGGGUAAAUUGGUUCGAGCUCGCCGUGAAGAAAAAAAGAUGCACAAAGGGAUAGAAGUCAUUGGCGACGAAAAAGAGAAAAGGAAGGGGACCUACAAAGUCACUAGGGAAACCCACCCUAAUGACUUUGGAGUAUGAUCAUUUGGGGCAACCUUGUGGAAAAUGGCGUUAAAAGUAUGCCAUGCAAGUUGGGAUUUGCAUGCAUAAGCUCUCCAUUUUCCACUCAUGGAAAGAGGUGCCCGAGUCUUUCAAAAAGAUGAUUUGGGAAGAUACUAUGAAUCAAUUCAAUAUUGAAAAUGAUGAAGCCAAGAAGAAUGUGUUUCUAUCCGCGGUUGCCCAGUGAUUCAGAGAUUUCAAGGCUAAGUUAGUGUCGGGGUGGAUCACUAAGCGGACAAAAGUAGUGGGUACAAAGAAAAAGAACAUCUACGGCGGAGAAACACAAACCGGUUCUGAGGCUACACCGGACACAUCAUCUGAGGCACCCUCCAAGUUACCAUAUCAGAUAUGGAGGAAUAUCAAACCUGAGGAGUGGCAAGCAUUUGUUGCACAAAAAACAACCCCGGAAGUUGUUCAACUCGUGAGAAAAGUAGCGCGAGUGCAAAAGCUAGGAAGUAUUACAUCAUCUGGGUGCUCAGUCAUACGGUUAGGCGAGAGAUACGUGGAUGUAUAGCCAUUACCCCACGGUAGGGUCGACAACGGCAACGGGGACAAGCUCUACGACGACAGUUGCACAGCCUCGGCAACUAGAUAGAGUGCUCGAUUGGUGGUGUUCGAUGCAUGGGGUUGAUGCAAAGGGACAGAGAGUCUUGCCUGAUCCCGGAACACAACAGAUAGCUAAUGCCAUUGUAAGUACAUAUUAUAUGAUUAUAUAAUAUGUAUAUAUAAUAUAACUUGUGCGCUACGAGCAUUUCUCUCUUAUCCUUAUGUAGAUUGGCUUGAAGGAAAAGGAGGCAACUGGUGAGUUCAUUCCUAAAGAACAAAAUUGAUGCCUUACACAAGACUUUAGGACGGGACAAAUAUGGACGUGUGAGGGGCGUAGGAGGUGUCCGCCUCAGGGUGAGAAAGGUGUAUGGUGAUCAAUACA